GUGCACCAGUCGCGAAACCUUCGCAAUGCGGGAAACCGCGACGAGGGGACUCCCAGUGCCUACGCUCAGCGUAGGCUGUUCCCGAGCCUAGAAAGCUCGGGGAGUAAGGGCUGGGUAAGACGGGUGCCAGCCGCCGCGGUAAUACCCGCAGCCCGAGUGGUGGCCACUAUUAUUGGGCCUAAAGCGUCCGUAGCCGGCCCGGUAAAUGCCUGGGUAAAUCGUGAGGCCUAACCUCACGAAUUCCGGGUAGACUGCCGGGCUAGGGACCGGAGGAGGGAGAGGGUACUCCAGGGGUAGGGGUGAAAUCCUGUAAUCCCUGGAGGACCACCGGUGGCGAAGGCGCUCUCCUAGGACGGGUCCGACGGUGAGGGACGAAAGCCAGGGGAGCGAACCGGAUUAGAUACCCGCGUAGU
rnacentral:rRNA from 1 species